rnacentral:rRNA from 1 species
AUUGAACGCUGGCGGCAGGCCUAACACAUGCAAGUCGAGCGAGCGGCGGACGGGUGAGUAAAGUAUGGGGACUGCCCGAUAGAGGGGGAGAACUACUGGAAACGGUAGCUAAUACCGCAUACUAUCGGAUAACCCAUAUGGGAUUAGCUAGUAGGGGGGGUAAUGUCUCACCUGGGCGACGUACCCUAGCUGGUCUGAGAGGAUGAUCAGCCACACUGGGACUGAGACACGGCCCAGACUCCGACGGAGGCAGCGGUGGGGAAUAUUGCACAAUGGGCGCAAGCCUGAGGCAGCCAUGCCGCGUGUAUGAAGAAGGCCUUAGGGUUGUAAAGUACUUUCAGCGGGGAGGCGUUACCCGCAGAAGAAGCACCGGCUAACUCCGUGCCAGCAGCCGCGGUAAUAC